UCACUAAAAACUCUUGCAGCUCACAACC
rnacentral:sRNA from 1 species